UUUUCUCCCUCUGUUUUUU
rnacentral:sRNA from 1 species